rnacentral:lncRNA from 1 species
CAAUGAAGUAAUAAAUACAAUAAGAGAGGAAUGGGCAGGAUAUUUGUUGAAUAAACAUUUUAAAUAGCUAUAGUUUUAGGUUUUUCCUUUCAUGAUAGUAGCAUUUGCAUACUCGUGCAACUUUUUAACUGUGAAUAGAUGUAUAUUGUCAAUAGAUUAUUACCAAUAGAUGAAUGGAAAAAUGGGUUCUUUUAAGUUUUGAU